CUAGAUGAUGCAUUCACUGCACUUCAGUUGUAUCUUACUAUUAGGUUUGAUUACAUUAAAAGUUAAGUCUUACAAAUCAACCUAAAGUAAGAACAAAUGGAACAUUCUGAUAUCAGAAUGUUCACUUCUGCACAUGCUUCCAGCCAUGAACAGUGUAGUUGGUGGAAAGAUGGAAAAGCUAGCAAAAGGAGAUCUUGCGUCAGAGAUAACGUGUACUCUGAGAUGAAU
rnacentral:lncRNA from 1 species